rnacentral:tRNA from 1 species
GCCGCAAUCGCAUAACCUGGUAUUGCGCUGGCCUGGAAAGCCAGUUUCCUUCGGGAUGUCCCGGUUCAAAUCCGGGUUGCGGCG